GAUGAACGCUGGCGGCGUGCCUAAUACAUACAAGUAGAACGCUGAAGGAGGAGCUUGCUCUUCUGGAUGAGUUGCGAACGGGUGAGUAACGCGUAGGUAACCUGCCUGGUAGCGGGGGAUAACUAUUGGAAACGAUAGCUAAUACCGCAUGACAACAGUUAUUGCAUGAUAACUGUUUAAAAGGGGCAACUGCUCCACUACCAGAUGGACCUGCGUUGUAUUAGCUAGUUGGUGAGGUAACGGCUCACCAAGGCGACGAUACAUAGCCGACCUGAGAGGGUGAUCGGCCACACUGGGACUGAGACACGGCCCAGACUCCUACGGGAGGCAGCAGUAGGGAAUCUUCGGCAAUGGACGGAAGUCUGACCGAGCAACGCCGCGUGAGUGAAGAAGGUUUUCGGAUCGUAAAGCUCUGUUGUAAGAGAAGAACGAGUGUGAGAGUGGAAAGUUCACACUGUGACGGUAUCUUACCAGAAAGGGACGGCUAACUACGUG
rnacentral:rRNA from 1 species